ensembl:lncRNA
CUUUUAACAGAACCCCAGGCAACUGGAGAACAAGUUGAAAGCCAAUACUCUGUUCACAGGCCCUGGUUUCUGCAGAGGCUUCCUUCUGUCAGGACACAGCAAUCUUGCUUCUGUUUGCUGUGGAUCAAAAAGAAAGGCAAGAGAACCAACCCUUCCAAGCCUGUCCAGCUGCAGUCUCUUCACUUUAAUGUGCUGCCAUGUAUCAGCCUUGGAAUUCAGUCUGGCCUCGAAUUUCAGCUGACUUUAUAAUUCAAAUGUAAUUGCUGAUGCACUUUCAAAAAACUUCAGGAAACUCUUUCUGGCUUAUGAAGUCCUGUGAGUAAAGACUGGGGCUGAAUCUGGUAGCAGAGCAGAAGAAAAAGCCAUACCCCUGCAAGGGGAUGUUGUAAUUGAGAAAGAAAAAUGAGGAUUCUGGCAGAAGAAGCAGUUUCUAAAGCUUGAAGUGAACUGAAAACUUUGCCUAAACUCUGACUCUGGGCCCAAUCACUGUCAGUAUUAACAGCAGAAUAUUUCUGCAGCUUCUCCGGGAAUAGAAGGCGGCAGUACAGUAACAGGAGAGGGGCAGGCUUUGGGGACUGCAAGAGAGGCAUUUAAGGUGUAGAAGACAACUCCGACCCUACAUUGAUCAUGGAUGUUCUGCUUCUAAAGAUGAGUGAGCCAGCCAAGCUGUAAGGCUAAUCACCCUGGGCAAGUAUGAAUUUAUCUAAAGAGGAUUUCAUGUGGAACCCCCUGAGCCGGCCGCCAAACGGAUGACUGCACACUUUAAGAAAGUUAGUGGGCCUUCUCCCAAUCAACUGUCAGGCGACAUAAAAGGUUUGGAACGCGCUGACUUAAGCAAACGAUAUUUAGCCAUCUAAGGAGAUCAGAAGGCCCAAGAUUUUGCUUUGUUGGAGCUGACAGGAAAUAUUGAUACGUAUCAAGUAACACUCCUGAUGCAAAAGGGAAGAUGUGAUUCUUUUCGGCACUAUCUCUAUUUACAAAACUGUCUUGUGCUUUGGAAAGAAGGUGGGGGCAGGGGAAAUGCCAAAACCAACACUUCACUUGGGACUUUGCCAGCUUUCCUGGGACCGCAAUGUAGUGAAAAUAGGAAUCAAACUACAUCAGCUUUUUUUUUUUUUUUUUUAAACAAAAGGUGUUGGAAUUGGAAUCUGCAGACUCUCUGAAUGUCUAGCUGAUGGGUGGACCUCGUCCAUCACCCCAAAUCUAUCCCUUGAGUUGAUUAACUUAGAAAG